AUGCCCUGGUUCUGCGCGACCCCGCCAGAGACUCACCUCGCCACCUUGGCGCCUCCCGAAGGAUCUCCGCCACCGCCUAGCGCUUCUGUGCGCAAGGAUGCCGACGCCUCUCCCUGGCCCUCCUGGCGGACAGCCUCCAGCCCACACAAGCUUCCCUGUUUUGGCUCUGUUGGCUACCAUGAUUCAAUGAUGACAACACGCACACCUUUCCCUGAUGCUUGGGCAAAGGCAUGUAUGUCCGAUGUGCAGGCAAAACUUUAUAGAUGCAGAUUACAUACAUUAGAAAUUGCCAACUCGGUGGAUGAUAAAUACUAUGACUUGGGACUCAGAAAAAAGAUCAACACGUAG
rnacentral:rRNA from 1 species